rnacentral:rRNA from 1 species
GACGAACGCUGGCGGCGUGCUUAACACAUGCAAGUCGAACGGAAAGGCCCUGCUUUUGUGGGGUGCUCGAGUGGCGAACGGGUGAGUAACACGUGAGUAACCUGCCCUUUACUUUGGGAUAACUUCAGGAAACUGGGGCUAAUACCGGAUAGGAGCUCCUGCUGCAUGGUGGGGGUUGGAAAGUUUCGGCGGUUGGGGAUGGACUCGCGGCUUAUCAGCUUGUUGGUGGGGUAGUUGCUUACCAAGGCUUUGACGGGUAGCCGGCCUGAGAGGGUGACCGGCCACAUUGGGACUGAGAGACGGCCCAGACUCCUACGGGAGGCAGCAGGGGGGAAUAUUGCACAAUGGGCGGAAGCCUGAUGCAGCAACGCCGCGUGCGGGAUGACGGCCUUCGGGUUGUAAACCGCUUUCGCCUGUGACGAAGCGUGAGUGACGGUAAUGGGUAAAGAAGCACCGGCUAACUACGUG